AAUGGAUCCGGUGAAGGUCCUCAUCUUCGGAACAAUAGCCACAGCUGAGGACUUCGAGAACGACGACCUCUUCGUGCACUUCUUCUUUCAUCUGGAAAAUGGUUGGACGUCAUCGUGCCCGCUAUUCGGCGUGACGCAGUGUUCCCGGACCAGGCCCAAAGGACGCGUCGAAGUGGCGCACUUCUCGCACCCGUUCGAGCUCGAGCUGGAGAGGACAGCGGGCGACGGUGACCAGGAAGG